ensembl:lncRNA
CAGUGCUGGAAUUACAUCAGGGAUGAACUUGUCCCUGUGGGCUUCCCCAGCUCACAGUCCUGAAGCAUCACCUGCAGCAGUUACCAGGAUCGUGGUGCAACACCGCUGCCCUCGUAUUUAAGCAAAAAGCCCCUCCGCUGAGCUCUCUCUUUACCUUCCCAUUCACUAGUGGUUGAAACAGACAUUUGAUUUUUCUACUGUGUGCCUGGAGCUAUUUUUAGCAGCUAAUAGCUGACACCCUAGGGAGCAUGAUGUCACCAGAACUCGCACUUACAGAGCUAUCAAGGCCUGGCUGGGCACAGCAGCUGCACCCAGUGAGCUGCUCAGGCAAGGGGAGAGGCUGUGACACCACCAGGGCGGAGUUCAGAAGGCCAAACAGAGGAGUUCUAGCCAGAUCCCAAAGGAAAGAUUUUUCCUCCUUUUGUAAGUGAUUCUGCAGAAGUGAAAGAAACAACUACAAUUCACCACUCCGCCGUUUCCAGCAACAGACAAGGCAUUAAAAGGCUCAAAUCACCCAACAGCACUUACGGGCAUGAGCUAAGAUUUAAGGAGACUCAAAUUCUCAGCUGUACUACCAGCUUGCUGGAUGAGCUGUUACAAAGUAUUUUCCCAAGCAACUUGCUUUCGACCUGGCACAUGAGACUGACUCACAUGAAUGAGCUGAGCAGCACAAUGGGGACAAAUCCAGUUUGAAAGGAAAGGAGACGACACUGGUGCAGAACUGCAGAGAACAUGGCUUCUGAAUGAGUCUUAGGAGGAGGCACUAUCACAGACUCUUGCAAACAUUUCAAGACACUGUGCAUCAGCCAUGUUGUCAAGUCUAACAAAAACCCAGCAAACAUCAUUUAUAUCAAGGCCUUUGUAGAGCUAUGUCAUUAAAACAUCAGGAAGGUUGAAGGAUGACUUUUCUUUCUUAAGUUGAUAUGAUUCUGAACAAUACAUCAUUGAGUAUCAAGAUUUAAGAUUUUUUCUGUUUGUCUGUUCUUGUACAAGACAGACAUGUCUUGUGAAAUGAUUCCAAACUCAUUAUUGCUAUCCUUGCACUUCUCCAUAGCCAUAUUACAGCUGGACUAGCUCACAUCGAGGAUGCCCACAUUAAAAGAUAACAGCAUCCUUUGGUAGCAGAAACUAUAGGCUUUCAGCAUUCUCUGGCUUUCAUGGUUUGACUAGCUCUGAACAUUACACCAAAACUCAGCAAGAUAACUAAAGAACAGAAAGUACCAACAUUCACAAAAGGCAAACAUCUGAAUAUGAACACAUUGCUGUUAAUAUCCUUUAGUAUUCAGUUUUAAUGAAAUUCACAGACACAGACUGUCCUUUAGCACAAAUGCAUUCAAAACUAGUAAUUCCUUGUUCUUGUUCCACCUUUAUUCCACUUCCACCAUGGUAGUCUAACACUUCUCAACUCAGAUUACAGCUUCACAAGAGAGAAGUUUAUGUCCAAAUACUCCAAUGGGUGACUUCCACCUUAACUGGAGAAUCCUGGGUAAUGGAAAACAAGUUUUUCCAACAAGAUUGGACAGAGGCAAGUCUAAUCAUUCUGUCACAAGACAGGGAAAGGUCAUACAGGCCACCAACGAUGGUUGUGCCUGCAAUCACUGGGGUCAUCCUUUUAGCAUUGCUAGUUCAGACAAGCCAUCAACUACCAAAUCAAUCCAGCCACACCACUCAAGAUACAUGACAACCGCAGGACUUGAACUGCUACAUCUAUCUUCAGCACCUAGGACUACACAUCCACUAGUGAGCAUGAAAGCACUACUACAGUCUGUGGGGCACAGUUAAGAUGUAUGUAAAAAUGCAAUUGAAAAUAGUCUCCAAGCAAUAUAGUUUAAAAGGCCUCACUGCUCCAGCUGUGUGUUCAUGUUUUUUUUUUUACUCUUCUCUGCAUCUUGAAAAGCAAAAUCUGAUCAGACAUCUAACUAGGAUAGAAAUAUUCAUGCAGUCUGUUCUAGGUGGGUUAUGUAUUGUCAAAUACUAUACAACAGCGAAUGCUACAACCUUAUCACCUGCAGAUGCAGUUGAAUGGCAGCACAAAUCCAGUUUUUUAAAUGCACUAAUUUAAAAACAUCUGAGAUUUGCCCACGAGUUCUACUCAAC